CCCUGUUUCAGAAAGCCGGUUUAGAAAACUCAGAGUUAAAAAUGAUACUCAGGGUUGAGUAACCCCAAACUGUCCAACUCGGAAUAUUCGGUUUCAGAAAGGCUGAUAACAAUUAGUUCAAUCAACGCGGAGUUGCUUUAACCCCAAGUUAAGCACGCGCACGAGGAUACAUAAAGCCCUGAUUAGUGGAGCACAGAUUAAGCGAGGCACCAUGGAGACGGAGGGAAAGAAGGCGCGGUCAAUGUAUUUUACAGCGCUUGAGGCCGAAAUUCUGAUGGCAGCAUAUGCCGACAACAUGCAUAUUUUGCAGAAAAAAAGUAACACAGCCUCAGCUGCAAAAGAAAGGGAGCAUGCAUGGCAAAACAUAGCCGACAGAGUCAAUGCGUGAGUGUUAAUUUAAACAUUGAUCUAGGGAUUUCCACCCAUUUAACACGUUAUUUUAUUAUAUUUCAUUUUAUUUGUCAUUUCAUACAUUUUAUUUUGUGAUGUGAUGUGAGCGCAGGUGCAACCCAACAGGCCUCAAACGUUCCUGGCAGCAAGUAAAAAUGAAAUAUAAAAACAUAGUCCAAACAGCCAACAGAAAAAAAGCGGAGGCCCGAAAAACAGGUGGGGGUCCUCCACCACCACCACUCACAGAGGCUGAGCAGUUGGCCCUCAGCCAAAACAGUGGGCGCCCUGUGGCUGAAGGCAUCUCUGCGGGGACAUCCUCUGAGUCAAUAACCCCGCAAGACACAAGUGCCUACAUAAGAGUUGAUGGUGAUGGUGUACUGCAUCUGGUGCAGCCUCCUGUUGAGCCAGACCAACAUGCAGUUGAAAUUGAAGAAACAUUGACAGCUGUUACAGAGGAGGGAGCAACAGAGACACUUUAUGAGAGUGAUGAUGGAAAUGCAGAGGAAGAGGGUCCAGCCACUUCUCCAACAAACCUUUCCUCACUCCCUGUAAAGCAGCUGUAUAAGACAUACUUGAUCAAGAAAAUAGAAAAAUGCAACUUGGAAAUGGAACACUUCAAGCAACAGAUCCAAAAGACCAAGACUGAGAUUUUACUGCUGGAACAUCAGUUAAGGGUGGGUGAAGUGGUCAGAGAUGGACGAAUUAUUUCAGUGUUUGAACAACAUACUAAUAUACUUAUUAAUACUUUGUGUACAGGAAAUACAGGCGACCAAUAAAGCCAGUUGAACAAAAAAUCUGUUUAUUUUUCUUUCAACAUGUUGAGGUGAUGGGUCAAAGGAAAUGAUUGUGACAUAUGGUGUCUCUGACUGCUCUUCCAUCUUGUAUGUCCGUGGGAGGGUCAGGAUGUUCAUGGUUUGGAUCACUGCUGAUGUUUGGUUCAGAAGGACAGUGUUCUCCUCUAAUUGUGGCAAUGUUGUGAAGAAUCACACAUGCCACAAUAAUGUCA